AGUCUAGCCUGCCCAAUGAGUAUUUGAAUGGCCGCAGUAUUUUGACUGUGCAAAGGUAGCAUAAUCAUUAGUUUUUUAAUUGAAAGCUGGAAUGAAAGGUUGGACAAGAAAAUAGCUGUCUCUUUAUAAAUUUGUUAGAAUUUUAUUUUUAAGUUAAAAAGCUUAAAUAAAUUUAAAAGACGAGAAGACCCUAUAGAGUUUUAUAAAAUUUGUUAUUAUUUUUUUUUAUUGUUUAAAUUAAUUAUAAAUUUUAUUUUAUUGGGGUGAUGGAAAAAUUUUAUAAACUUUUUUUAUAUUUUUACAUAUUUAAAUGAUUUAUUGAUCCUUAGUUAAAGAUUAUAAGAUUAAAUUACCUUAGGGAUAACAGCGUAAUUUUUUUGGAGAGUUCAAAUCGAUAAAAAAGUUUGCGACCUCGAUGUUGGAUUAAAAUUAAAUUUUGGUGUAGAAGCUAAAAUAUUUAGG
rnacentral:rRNA from 1 species